UAACAGGAUUAGAUACCCUGGUAGUCCACGCCGUAAACGAUGAUAACUAGCUGUCCGGGCACUUGGUGCUUGGGUGGCGCAGCUAACGCAUUAAGUUAUCCGCCUGGGGAGUACGGCCGCAAGGUUAAAACUCAAAGGAAUUGACGGGGGCCUGCACAGGCGGUGGAGCAUGUGGUUUAAUUCGAAGCAACGCGCAGAACCUUACCAGCGUUUGACAUGUCCGGACGAUUUCCAGAGAUGGAUUUCUUCCCUUCGGGGACUGGAACACAGGUGCUGCAUGGCUGUCGUCAGCUCGUGUCGUGAGAUGUUGGGUUAAGUCCCGCAACGAGCGCAACCCUCGCCUUUAGUUACCAUCAUUUGGUUGGGUACUCUAAAGGAACCGCCGGUGAUAAGCCGGAGGAAGGUGGGGAUGACGUCAAGUCCUCAUGGCCCUUACGCGCUGGGCUACACACGUGCUACAAUGGCAACUACAGUGGGCAGCGACCCUGCGAGGGCGAGCUAAUCCCCAAAAGUUGUCUCAGUUCGGAUUGUUCUCUGCAACUCGAGAGCAUGAAGGCGGAAUCGCUAGUAAUCGCGGAUCAGCAUGCCGCGGUGAAUACGUUCCCAGGCCUUGUACACACCGCCCGUCACACCAUGGGAGUUGGAUUCACCCGAAGGCGUUGCGCCAACCCGCAAGGGAAGCAGGCGACCACGGUGGGUUCAGCGACUGGGGUGAAGUCGUAACAAGGUAACCA
rnacentral:rRNA from 1 species